CCCAGGUCGUGCUAAAUCCACAAAUUUCAUUUAAUUCAUUUUUCUUAUACUAUAGAAAAGAAAUAAAGAAAUAAACAUUUGAAUUCAGCAUUAUUCCAUGAUUUCUAUUUCAAAGCCUAUUUUUAAGGGAAAACCCCUCUUUUCUCAUUCCUCUCUAUUGCAUGGGUGGAAGAACAAAAAUUGAAUUCUGAAAAAAAAGAUAUUGAAAAGAAAAAUUGACUUUUGAAACCCUUUAUUUAUUAUGUGUAACGGAAAAGAGUUGCAAUUUCUUCUUAUUCCUAUAGAACAUCUAGUAACAAGAAUAUGAAAUCGUAAAUAGCGAAAAAUUCUUGCC
rnacentral:lncRNA from 1 species